rnacentral:rRNA from 1 species
GCAUAUCAAUAGCGGUGGAAAAGAAAAUAACCAUGAUUCCCUUUAGUAACGGCGAAGUGAAGUGGGAAGUGCUCAAAUUUAAAAUCCCUUUUUGGGAAUUGUAAUUUAUAGAAUAAAUGGUUAGUGAGCGAAGAUUAAAGUCUGCUGGAAAGCAUGCGCUAGAAAGGGUGAUAGCCCCGUUCAGUCUUUUAGCUUACUUCUAUACCAUUAUUUCAACGAGUCAGGUUGCUUGGGAAUGCAGCCUAAAUUUGGUGGUAAACUCCAUCUAAAGCUAAAUAUUGAUCAGUGACCGAUAGCAAACAAGUACCGUGAGGGAAAGAUGAAAAGAACCUUGAAAAGGGGGUUAAAAGUACGUGAAAUUGUUAUUAGGAAAGCACUUAGUCUCAUUGUGGAUUAAAUCAGUCUGUUUCGGCAGAUACUGUUUUAAUUAGUUAUGAUCAGUUAAAGUUGAUAAAGAAAAUUUUUGAUAAGGUAUUAGUGUAGUGCUAAACUUAAAGAUCAAUUAUUAUUUGUCGAUAUUGACUGAGGAAUGCUGCUUAAUCUUUUUGGGCUAUUAGUUUAUGGAGUUGGGUUAAACAACAUGUUGAUUAACUCAAUUAAAGUAAUCUAUUGGUUCUAAAACUUAAGCACAGGAUCAUAAUUAAAUGAUACUAAAUGACCCGUCUUGAAACACGGACCAAGGAGUCUAACAUGAUUGCGAGUUACAGGGUGAAAAACCUUUGAGCGCAAUGAAAGUGAUAAAGAUAGGAUAGGUAACACUUGCACUAUCAACCUAAACUGAUGAUUUUUUCUGACGUUUUAGAGUUAGAGCAGUCAUGUUGGGACCCGAAAGAUGGUGAGCUAUGCUUGAAUAGGGCAAAGCCAGAGGAAACUUCUGGUGGAGGCUCGUAGCGAUUUCUGACGUGCAAAUCGAUCGUCAAAUUUGAGCAUAGGGGGCGAAAGACUAAUCGAACCUUCUAAUGGCUGGUUCCUGCCGAU